GAUGAACGCUAGCGGCAGGCUUAACACAUGCAAGUCGAGGGGUAGAAGUUGCUUGCAACUUUGAGACCGGCGCACGGGUGCGUAACGCGUAUGCAAUCUACCUUAUACAGAGGGAUAGCCCAGAGAAAUUUGGAUUAAUACCUCAUAGUAUAAUUGAAUGGCAUCAUUUAAUUAUUAAAGUUCCAACGGUAUAAGAUGAGCAUGCGUCCUAUUAGCUAGAUGGUAAGGUAACGGCUUACCAUGACAACGAUAGGUAGGGGUCCUGAGAGGGAGAUCCACCACACUGGUACUGAGACACGGACCAGACUCCUACGGGAGGCAGCAGUGAGGAAUAUUGGACAAUGGGCGCAAGCCUGAUCCAGCCAUGCCGCGUGCAGGAAGAAGCAUCUAUGGUGUGUAAACUGCUUUUGUACGGGAAGAAACACCCCUUCGUGAAGGGACUUGACGGUACCGUAAGAAUAAGGAUCGGCUAACUCCGUGCCAGCCGCCGCCGUAAGAC
rnacentral:rRNA from 1 species